AUUGAACGCUGGCGGCAGGCCUAACACAUGCAAGUCGAACGAGUGGCGGACGGGUGAGUAAUGUCUGGGAAUCUGGCUUAUGGAGGGGGAUAACGACUGGAAACUGUCGCUAAUACCGCGUACCAUAGGAUGAGCCCAAGUGGGAUUAGCUAGUUGGUGGGGUAAAGGCCGACCAAGCCGACGAUCCCUAGCUGGUCUGAGAGGAUGACCAGCCACACGGGAACUGAGACACGGCCCAGACUCCUACGGGAGGCAGCAGUGGGGAAGAUUGCACAAUGGGGGCAAGCCUGACGCAGCCAUGCCGCGUGUAUGAAGAAGGCCUUCGGGUUGUAAAGUUCUUUCGGUGACGAGGCGUUAAUCACAGAAGAAGCACCGGCUAACUCCGUGCCAGCAGCCGCGGUAAUAC
rnacentral:rRNA from 1 species